AUCUACGGCCAUGCCAUCCUGAACAAGCCCGAUCCCCUCUGAACAUGGAAGCUAAGCAGGGUCGGGCCUGGUCAGUACUUGGAUGGGAGACCACCUGAGAAGACCAGGUACUAUAGGCG
rnacentral:rRNA from 1 species